GAANNNNUCCCUAUCUUUUCCUAAGUCUAUACAUGCAAGCCUCAACGAGACAGUGAGUACCCACCAAAUCAGCAAAGAACGAACGGAGUGAAUAUAAGACCGUGGCCUACGGGCCCAUCGAAACAAAAGGACGCACCCACACCUACACAGGAAUUCAGCAGUAAUUAAUAUUAGGCCAUAAGCGAAAGCUUGACCUAGCUAUGGGAAAAAAAGCCGGUAAAACUCGUGCCAGCUACCGCGGUUAUACGAGAGGCUAAAGAUGGCGGCCCCCGGCGAAAACAUGCCAGAGCAUGUCAAAAAACUAAGAAAAAAGGAAGCGCAAGCCGUCCAACGCUAAGAACAAACGAAACCCCACCCCUUAACCAACCCGACCCCUUAAACCAUAAAAGCCAGGAAACAAACUAGGAUUAGAGACCCUACUAUGCCCGGCCGUGAAAGGCUCCCGCCCGCCCGACAAAUACGAGCGAAAGCUUAAAACUCAAAGGACUUGACGGUGCCCCACAUCACCCUAGAGGAGCCUGUCCUAUAAUCGACACCCCCCGUUGAAACCUCACCGCCCCUAGCCAACCAGUCUAUAUACCGCCGUCGUCAGUUCACCCUGCAAGAGAACAAAAGUGAGCAAAAUAGUUCAUUGCACUAAAACGACAGGUCAAAGCGUAGCACACGGGGCGGGCUGAGAUGGGCUACAUUUUCUAAAACAGACCACACCGGAAAGCGCAUGAAACAGCGCCCAACAGGUGGAUUUAGCAGUAAGGCGGAAUAGAAAAGCCCGCCUGAACACAGCACUGGGACACGCACACACCGCCCGUCACCCCCCUCCACCCGCAACAAAACUUCAUAAAACCAAUGCACCACCAAGAUGGGGAAAGUCGUAACAAGGUGAGCGUACUGGAAGGUGCGCUCGUACAC
rnacentral:rRNA from 1 species